rnacentral:rRNA from 1 species
GGCUUAGAGUUUGAUCACGGCUCAGGAUGAACGCUAGCUACAGGCUUAACACAUGCAAGUCGAGGGGCAGCAUGAUUGAAGCUUGCUUCAAUUGAUGGCGACCGGCGCACGGGUGAGUAACACGUAUCCAACCUGCCGAUGACUCUGGGAUAGCCUUCCGAAAGAAAGAUUAAUACCGGAUGGCAUAAUUCUUCCGCAUGGUAGAAUUAUUAAAGAAUUUCGGUCGUCGAUGGGGAUGCGUUCCAUUAGGUUGUUGGCGGGGUAACGGCCCACCAAGCCUUCGAUGGAUAGGGGUUCUGAGAGGAAGGUCCCCCACAUUGGAACUGAGACACGGUCCAAACUCCUACGGGAGGCAGCAGUGAGGAAUAUUGGUCAAUGGACGAGAGUCUGAACCAGCCAAGUAGCGUGAAGGAUGACUGCCCUAUGGGUUGUAAACUUCUUUUAUACGGGAAUAAAGUGCAGCACGUGUGCUGUUUUGUAUGUACCGUAUGAAUAAGGAUCGGCUAACUCCGUGCCAGCAGCCGCGGUAAUAAGGAGGAUCCGAGCGUUAUCCGGAUUUAUUGGGUUUAAAGGGAGCGUAGGCGGAUGCUUAAGUCAGUUGUGAAAGUUUGCGGCUCAACCGUAAUAUUGCAGUUGAUACUGGGUGUCUUGAGUACAGUAGAGGCAGGUGGAAUUCGUGGUGUAGCGGUGAAAUGCUUAGAUAUCACGAAGAACUCCGAUUGCGAAGGCAGCCUGCUGGACUGUAACUGACGCUGAUGCUCGAAAGUGUGGGUAUCAAACAGGAUUAGAUACCCUGGUAGUCCACACAGUAAACGAUGAAUACUCGCUGUUUGCGAUAUACAGUAAGCGGCCAAGCGAAAGCGUUAAGUAUUC